rnacentral:lncRNA from 1 species
UACCCACACUCAAAUGCAAGCUCAAACCAAUUUAUGUAAAUUACUUUUUAAGAUGACAUAAAUGAUGAUAUCAUAACAAGUAACACAUAACCAAUAUCACAAGAGUCAAGUAACAAUAUGGCAGCAAAUAACACAAUAUUUCAAUUGUAAAUUCAAGAGGGUGUUAGAAUGCGCAAAUCGAGCAAACCAAUCUAUUGGUUCGUAUUUUAAGGAGAGAUGCGAGUCUUUAUCGAUCUGAAGCCUCCAGUAACUACCUUGAAUCAUCUAACAGCUGCUGAAACACCAGGAAACACCACCGAGCCACCAACAGAAAAGUUUCUCCGUUUUCACUUUUCUGCCCGAGACUGUAUCUGCUUCCACAGUACACCAAACUAAAAUCCAACACCACCAGAAGGUCAGAAAUUUAUCAAGGAACAAUCUGUCUUUUUUGAUCUCCGGCUAAAACUCCCUCACGCGCCCUAACGCUUCGAGGACGUCUUCUGCGCGUGGUUUCACGCGCCGCCUCCACCGAUGGCGUGUGUGAUACACGCGCUACUCCGCUUUAUACUGCUUGACUUCUAGAGUCUGGUGGUGGUCUCCGUUUGUCCACCAGAUGUGUAUUUUUUUCCAGAAAAUGGGUUCAAAGUUUCUGCUCAACUUGUUUUCGAACAAAACCGAACCCCUUCGACUUUCAAUCCGAUUUUCAGGUUGUUUUAUCACUUUUUACCACUAGCCUAAGCUCUGAUACCAUUUGUAGAGUUUAAAGUGUAGAAUACAAAAGAUUAUUACAACUACAAUGUGGAAUAAUAAACUCUCAAAGUGUAAAAUCGAACCAAAACCGACUCAAAGCUUUUUCAACACCACCAGUGAAGUGUUCUUGAUGUUGAGCUCAGAUUUGUGCCACACCGAAUCAUGCACCAUCGUCCACGGGAAUGGCAAUGGAUAUACCGAGAAAGGAUCCGCUGAAAGCCACCAAGAAUUUCGCCGGAGUUAUGGAAAGCUCCCACUUGGUUACCUCUCUAUGCUCUCUCUCAAAUGUUAUGUUAAGUCCAAGUGGAGAGAAUGAAGAGGUCUUGAAAUUAUAUAACCAAUUCAUUUGAAUUCAAAAUUCAAAUAUUGUACUAUGGUCUAGAG